CUCUGAUGUGCUGGUUGUGGACAGAUCAAUCGACUGCAUUUAUAUCAACAACGAUGACGCUAUCCAACAGCCGCGGUGCCCCCCAGUCUCAGUAAUGUCCAUGGAGCAGAAAAACAAACUGUUUGAUGUGGAUUCUGUUUCUCUGUGGUAGUUCACUUCCUAAUUGACCCAGAUCAGAUGAAGCCAAUUCAACUACCGCGACCUCUAGGGUCAGUAGUUCAUGACCUCUAGGGUCUAGGUGUUCCCUUUCUCCUGGUUCAGUAGUUCAUGACCUCUAGGGUCUAGGUGUUCC
ensembl:lncRNA